AAAUACCUUGGUGUCUUCAAAUAUGCACAGCUGUUCCUGGCACGGACGGAAGGGUCGAUUAUUCUGGACUCCCGAUCAGAGGGGCUCUAAUUUUAUAUAUAUAGUCCGGAUCUUAAGCUCACCCCUUAUCCAACUCACCCGAACUCACCUCCUUUUAGCGACGGACCCGGCGACGGUUCGGUCAUACAACCGUCGUCUAUACUUUUAGCGAUGAUAUAUGUUGUCCGUCGCUAAAAGCAUAGACAACGGUUGCAUAUACGGUCCUUCGCUAAAGGGGGGUGAGCUCGGAUGAGUUGGAUAAAGGGUGAGUUUAAAAUCCGGACCGUAUAUAUAUAUUCAGAGAGGUUCAGGAACGAGCUAGUUUGAUUGAAGAUUUUGGUUCUAGGAAUACUAGAAGUAUCUUUCAAUGAAUGUAUUCUUAUAUAUAUUGUUGUAGUCGAAUUAUUAUGUUUUAAGCUCCAAAAUACAUUUUUUUGAAUAUAACUUGUACUUUUUAUUUAUUUAGUUUUGGGUGAAGACAAUUUUUGAAAAGAAUCGAGUUUUUAUUUUUUGUCCCGGACUAUCAAAAUCUCAAGAACGAC
rnacentral:lncRNA from 1 species